GUAAAAAACAAACACAAACAAAACCCACAACAAGUAAGUAAUUCACACACUGUAUCCAGACAUACAAUCAGGACUGUGCUCAUACUUGCAUGAAGAAACCAUGUCAGGAGUGCCUGUGAAUGAGCACUUUACGGAGUAAGUUGCAAUUUAGCAAAGAUUUUAUUAAAUUACAUUUUCAAAUAAUUAAAAAGGAGGGAAGUUGUUACUGACCAAAUCACAGGUUUGAGCCUCUUCCCAACACCCUGUGACUACUUGCAUUUACAAAUGUUUGCAGCAGUUUUGUCACACUGAAGUUAAAACCCACCAUCUACUUGAUGGAGUACCACAGUUUCAAUGUGUUUAAACACUGCAGUGCAUUAGAGAGCCACAUUUUAGUCACAGGAAACACUGAUGAUCUUUGCCUGUCAUGCUGAACCCUUUCAGUAACAGCCAUCUAUGAGUCUCCAUUCAAAUUGCUCUGCAAAAAUAGUGUGGCAUACCCCAGCUCAAAUAAAGUAUGUAUUUUUAAAAGCUUCCAGCAUAGUUCUAUUUCCUAUACAGAAGGAAUAGUUCAGUUGUACAAGUUAUUAACACCUGGCAAAAACCAGCAGCUACCAUGUUUAUAUGAAGACUGAAGAGAUCAACAGUUUCCUUUCUCACUGAAGGCACCUGAGCUUAGAGCUGGUUCUGCCUGCACGAGUCAGAGCUCAUGGCCCAACACAGCCCACAAGCUGCUGGGGCCAGGGAAACGCUGAGCACAAAGGGGCACUUGUUCCUCAGCUCUCCACCAGCAGCUGAGAAAAAGGUGGGCAGAAAGUCAUUCAAUUCAGAUGCAAAAAUCACUCCAACCCUAACAUUUCUAGAUCAAACCAGAAAUGCAUCCAGCAUGAUGUCUGCAAGAGUGCAGUCACACGUAUUUCAAAACAAAGAAAGGAAUUCUAAGGUAAGGACUUAAAAGUACAGCAGGAUUUAAGUAUGAAGUUUUCAGACUCCAAGUCUGAAAACAACACCAAUACUCAGGAUGUCUAUACAAUCACUAUUUGUUCACCUUUAGAUAUUCACAAAAAUUAAAGCAUCAUAUUGUUCUCCUCCAAAUGGAAGAGUGAGGACAUGCACUGCACAGUCAUCAACACUGGUCUCUCUGCACUCAUCACUAAUAAUGGAACGCUUCAGAUCAGACAGCUGCCCUAAUACUUUGAAAAUGACUGGAAGUUAGUACAUUACAGUUGAGAAGAACUAGGUUUACUGUAAGUUAAAUUUUAAAAUUGUGAGAAAUGUUUAAUUCUUGUCAUAAUGGAAAAUCCUCAGAAAAUGGUACUGUUAAUAAAAGGCAAAACAAGCAGAAUGAAAAAUAAGUAACUUUAGGGAAUGAAGCUGAGUUUCAUGUUUUAGUAAUUUUUCUUUAACAUAUUUUCAAAACAGAAAGUGUAUUUUUUUCUCCUUAUUUGAGAAAACAGUUACCUUUUGAGCAACAAUUCAGAGCACUCAGUGUGUAAUUCGAAGUAUUCUGUUAAUUUUUAAAUCAGUCACACAGUAUAAAAAAGUUUCUAACCUUGAAUUCUUUAGAAAGUGCAGCUCCAAAGUUCAAGGAUAAAAUAGAGUGAGGUACCUGCUUGACAUUCCUGUCUGCUAGACUGCCAUAAGGAAGCCCCAUUCCAUAAAAAUAAACAAUGUGGUUUAUGAAGAUAAAAAUCCAAUUCCUAGAGUUGGAAGCUCUAUAUUGUUGCUGUAUUUACUGCAAACGGCUGGAAGAAUAGUGUCCAACUCAACAGCUAUUCUUUCCUAAACAAUAAUGAUCAACUGCUCUUCUUCAAGGUCACAGACAACAUACAGGAAAAACAUGUGACAUGAAACUCUGGAGGUGGGGCAUGAAUUGAAAAAAUGGAAACCCACUGGAAACUGCUCAGCCAGGAUACUGGGUAAAUAAACUUUAAAAGCACUUUAAACAAAGAUUUUCACAGCCUAAUUUUAGAGCCUGUAACUUAAUCCUCAACAGGAACUUUGGGACUUGAAAUAUUGUACCUCUUAUGCAUAUGAACAGAGAUCACCAAAAUUACUGAAGGAAAACACAGUAACUCUCUACAACAGAUCUAAAGCACUGGUAACAUACAAUUCUGCAGUCACCAACACUGGGUCAGUGUGCAUGCAAUAAACAUCAGAAAUCAAAUUGAGCCUUACAUACUAAGUCUGAGGAUCUUUGUGUAACUCCAUUGUCCAGCAUGCUGGGAAAACUGGGCUUCACUGUGUAAUGUGGAUACAACACAUGCCAGUAAGGCAGACACACCUAUCCCCCAAAAUUAUUCCAUGUUUGCUUCCCAUCUAUGCCAAACUCAAUCUAGUCUCUGAAGUGCCACAGAUAUCAUUCUGUGCCAUACUGGGGGGUUAUUAGCUUAAGAGCAGCGCAAGCCAGGGGCUGCAGGUGCUCAGGAGCCCCACAAGGAGCCGAGCAGAUGCUGCCGAGGGCAGACUGGCACCGCACAGCUCAUCACGCAUCCCCAACUCCUGUGGGCCUCAGGGCAGCCCAAGUGAGGAGUGUGACACACCAGGCUGGCUCUGUGCUCAAGUGUGCUGCUCCUCAGGGCACACUGCCAACAGCCCUGAAGUGGCUCCAGGAAACAGCCUGGCACUGAUUGCAGUGAGCUGGAUCUCAACUAAUGCAUUGCUCUGAACUGAAGGGGACUCUGCACGGAGGUGGCAAUGCUGUUAGGGUGUUUCCAACCACAGCACGUAAGGAACUCAAAAAGUUGAGUACCUAAUAUUAACUUUUUAAGCUAAAUUUAGGCAAAGGCAACUUACCUGUGAUUAUGAUAAGCUGCUUACAUGAAAACAAUUCAUUUGGACAUUAAACUACCAGAAGAAAUUACAGAAAAUUUACAGAAGAAAUUUUCUGAACAGUAAGAUUAAUUUUAUUAAACCUUUUCUCCUCCAGGUUGUUUCUUGUCUCUUUGCUCACUGAACCUAUGCAGACUUCUUAUAGUCUGUAGAAACGCAGGAGAAAUUGUAAGAAUAAGUCUUCAGAAAGCUACAAGACAACAAAGAGCUUCCACAGGCACAAGAAGAAGCUGCUACAUUAGCAAUGCAGUGUUUCUGCUUCUUAGACUUCUAAGCAACCAAUGAAGUUCUUCCUUCAGCAGCAUAAAGAUGAAGAGUUAUCUGUCACAGGUGACUAAACUACCAACUUUAUUUUGCUGUUUAGAACUGAGUAUCAGCAGUAGAUACAUGAAGUACUUGAACAAUGAAGGCUGCUGUCAAAUAAAGCAAGUUGUCACUUCAAUGCUUUUCAACAGUAUAAGCACUUUGUACCUUUUUAUUGUAAAUCAAAGCAAAUUAUUAAACAUUAAUGCCAAAUGAA